rnacentral:rRNA from 1 species
AACGAACGCUGGCGGCAGGCUUAAUACAUGCAAGUCGAACGAGAUCUUCGGAUCUAGUGGCAGACGGGUGAGGAACACGUGGGAACACCCCUUUCAGUUCGGAAUAACGUUGGGAAACUAACGCUAAUACCGGAUACGUCCUUCGGGAGAAAGAUUUAUCGCUGAAAGAUUGGCCCGCGUCUGAUUAGCUAGUUGGUGAGGUAACGGCUCACCAAGGCUACGAUCAGUAGCUGAUCUGAGAGGAUGAUCAGCCACAUUGGGACUGAGACACGGCCCAAACUCCUACGGGAGGCAGCAGUGGGGAAUAUUGGACAAUGGGCGCAAGCCUGAUCCAGCCAUGCCGCGUGAGUGAUGACGGCCUUCGGGUUGUAAAGCUCUUUUGUCCGGGAAGAUAAUGACUGUACCGGAAGAAUAAGCCCCGGCAAACUUCGUGCCAGCCGCCGCCGUAAGAC